UACGUAGGGUGCGAGCGUUUAAUCGGAAUUACUGGGCGUAAAGCGUGCGCAGGCGGUUUUGUAAGCCAGAUGUGAAAUCCCCGGGCUCAACCUGGGAAUGGCAUUUGGGACUGCAAGGCUGGAGUUUGGCAGAGGAGACUGGAAUUCCUGGUGUAGCAGUGAAAUGCGUAGAUAUCAGGAGGAAUACCGAUGGCGAAGGCAGGUCUCUGGGCUAUAACUGACGCUCAUGCACGAAAGCGUGGGGAGCAAACAGG
rnacentral:rRNA from 1 species